rnacentral:rRNA from 1 species
GAUGAACGCUGGCGGCGUGCUUAACACAUGCAAGUCGAACGGGAAUUAUUUUAUUGAAACUUCGGUCGAUUUAAUUUAAUUCUAGUGGCGGACGGGUGAGUAACGCGUGGGUAACCUGCCUUAUACAGGGGGAUAACAGUCAGAAAUGGCUGCUAAUACCGCAUAAGCGCACAGAGCUGCAUGGCUCAGUGUGAAAUACUCCGGUGGUAUAAGAUGGACCCGCGUUGGAUUAGCUGGUUGGUGGGGUAACGGCCCACCAAGGCGACGAUCCAUAGCCGGCCUGAGAGGGUGAACGGCCACAUUGGGACUGAGACACGGCCCAGACUCCUACGGGAGGCAGCAGUGGGGAAUAUUGCACAAUGGGGGAAACCCUGAUGCAGCGACGCCGCGUGAAGGAAGAAGUAUCUCGGGAUGUAAACUUCUAUCAGCAGGGAAGAUAGUGACGGUACCUGACUAAGAAGCCCCGGCUAACUACGUG